rnacentral:SRP_RNA from 1 species
GCUGGGUGUGGUGGCUCACGCCUGUAAUCCCAGCACUUUGGGAGGCUGAGGUGGGUGGAUCACCUGAGGUCAGGAGUUCGAGACCAGCCUGACCAACAUGGUGAAACCCCAUCUCUA